UAAGACAAAAAUAAAAAAAAAACGACUUUAAUACCAAUUGUUGAAAUUUAAAGGAUAGCAAAAAAACUUACAAACUGGAUAGACAAUGUAUUCAGAAAUAAAAAUGAUUGCUUGUUUUACUAGCUUUUUUGAAUCAUCCUUAUCUUGAUAGUUUUGAAUUUUCCACGAAUCUCGUCUUCUCCCACGCAUUACGAAUAUCUUCUCCCACGCAUUGUGCAUUGUCGGAUGCAAGGAGGACUACCAGAAUACUCUUCUAUAUCCACAAUCUAAAAUUUCGGGAUCCUUCUUUUAUGUCCACACUCCAAAAUUCUAGAAUCCUAGAGAGAAAUAAGAUUAGGAGGACGAAAGAACCAAUUCCAGAGAAAGGGGACUGAUAGAUAAAAAAAACUUGACAUCCCAAAUAUGCUGAAUGGAAAGUGCUACCAGUAUACCUAUAUGAAGAUAUCAUGUCCAAAAAAAAAACAUAAGGGAAGCAGAUAUCUUACCACCUUUCUCUCUCCAAAAAAUAAAAAAAUAAAAAUUGUAGGUUGGAUGUGAGAUCAAUAUUUAGAAUGGAUAUUAUUGUUGAUUUUCAAUUUUUUUAAAAAGUAAAACACCAUAUAAGUAAAACUAAUCUAUUCUACUAAGGCUUCGUUUGGGAUUGGGAUUGCGAAGAGAUCGCCGAUGAUAGAAAAAUACCCUGUUUGUUUCCGUACGUAAUAUUGCGUUCCGCAUAUUGCGGUUAGUCGGUUACAAUAUAUUUUCUACGAUCCCAUCGGAGAACGCAGAAGCAUAUAUCUAUAUGUUUUUUCUCAACUCCAUUCUAUAUAAUAGCGUUAGAUCCGCCUCAAUACCAAACUAAGCCUAAAUCCCUAACGUUCAGACCUUUCAAGAAGUAAAAAAAUAAAUUUUUAGCUUUUAAUCACAAAAAAAUAAAAUUCAUACUUAAUAACUUAUUCUGAUGAUAUCGGAAUAGAACUGUAGCACAUAAAUUAUUAGUAAAUAAUUUAUUAAUAAAAUAUAUGAAAUUUACCUGAAUUAUGAACUAUUUU
rnacentral:lncRNA from 1 species